GUGUAUUUUCUUUUUUUGACAGGUUAAGGAAUGAAAUCCUAUUAAAUGUGGAGUAAUGGUUUCCUAUAAGGAGGUCAGAAAAUGUGUGAUGCAUUUUUGAAAAUUCUUCUCUGUGCCUGUUUGCUGAUUCCAAUAAUAUCAAACAUGAAGUUAUAAGUGACACAUUCAAGUGAUUUUGUGUAUGCUGAUAUAAUAGUCUUUAUAUUAGUACUUUUUUAUGUUUUAUUUUAUUUCCCUCUCUUUGUUUGGCAGGACGACUCUGCACAGUCACUGUCAAUAUGUGUGCGUGUGAACCAUAAGCCUGCGCUCUGCUCAGAGCCCUGGUGGGAGAGUCAAUAUCCCAGUUUAGGCAUCACCACUUCCGACAAAGAAGUUUGAUAGAUGUUUGCCCACAGUUUGAUGGGACCACAUGCCCAGCAUGUCCAAAGGCGGAUGGAGAUAUGAUAGUGACACUGGAUGCCAACUUUGGCCUUGUGAGGAAGCAAAGCUCUGGGACAAGUGUGGUUGAGCCGUUGCAUGGAACCCGCAAGUUUGUUGAUGAAAAGAAUGUAGAGGAAUACCUGCUAUCACAUCGUGACAGCUCAAAGCCUCGUGAGGUUAGUCACAGUUGCAGUUGAGUCUAUAAAAUGUUGGAUUUAACUCCUAGAAAAAGACCAUUACUCUUCCCAUAAAUGUAAUUUCCUUAAAAAUUUAGUACUGUAGUAACUUCAAGGCUGGCAAUGUGCUGAGGUCACAAAAACAAGCGAAGAAACUCGAUGUUACAGGAGUGUUUGGAGCCUCUUGUCGUCAUGAAAUGCCCCUAAUGUUUGUCAACAUGAGCCAAGGAGAACGGUAAGGCUACGCCACUGCAGUCACAUAUAUGACUAUUGACUCAGUCUUUUCCAGAGUCACAAAGGAGAUGACUCCCUCGCACCGCUUGGACCUGUUGACUGAUGCCCUUCUGCAUUAUGGACGGAGGAAAUCAACUGACCUAGAGGUGCAGCUCCUGCAACAAUUAGAUGAAGCAGAGAAAAUAUCAACUCUCGCUCAAGAAGACAUCUCAUCUGUCAUCAGAGAAGCACCAGUGUUAGUCUCAGAGCGAGACAUGGAGAGAUGGAAGAAAAGGGAGCAGGAGCUAGCCCAAGAAAAUCCAAAGUCAAUAAACACUAUCUGUAGAUGGAAAAGGGACGACAUCACUAAGCUGAUUCAGUUCUACAUGUUCAAAAUUGAGAACUCUCUGCUAAACAUGGAGAAAAAACACAGCAUUCGGAGAAGAUGGCAAGAAUCUGAUUUAAUCUUCCAGUCUACCCUUAAAGAAGUUGACCGUGAUCUCAGAGGCCAACUGAUCUGGAAGGCUAGAACUGAAUGAAAGGAGAGAGCUGUCCUCCUCCAUCUGAAGAGAAAAUUUCCAGAUGGGCAGGGCGUUGCCGUUAGACUGUCCAAGCAGGUUGCCAACUCCAACAAGAGACUGAGACAGGCAAUAAAAGAGUACAACAGCAUUCAGUGGCCACCACAGAUGAGCAUCUUCCCUGCAACAAUUGAUUUUCAAGAAUCAUGUGAUCCCUCUUGGCCACUCUACUUCUGUUUUGAUGACACUGUUGAAGAAGAUGAUGUUCCAAGGAGUCUGAAAAGGCGAGGGAUUGAUGCCUUACAUAUGAAGACUCGGGCCGCUGAGGAAAAGCACACGCUUUACCAGGAAAUGAGAACUGUAGCUGACCACCUCCAACAGCAGCACGCCUUCCUGUGUUCUGCCAUCAAUGACACAGAGCAGCCAAGUGCAAAAGCUGUCCUCAUCCAACGUCUCAAACAGCUGGAAAGUAUACUACAUCACGCCACUGAUGUUCGACCAACAUGUACCAGACAUUGUUCCUGGAAUGCAUGGUUAUGUCACCCCAGACAACCCCUGCCUGUCUUGGGCCCUCCCCAUGUCAAGCAUACAGACACUGGUAUACAGUGAUGAUGAUGAUCAUGAUGACGAUGAUAGCAACUAGGUCUGUAAGCACUCUAGACGAGGGGUGGUUUUCUGCUUCUGGAACGAAUACUUUGAGCAAAUUUGUACGUUUUGUUAUACAUAAUUAAAAAUGCCUCCUUAAUUCAAGACUAACUAACAUGCAUCAGACUCAGACAGUUAGGUUCUGUGUGUGUCUUUAUUGUAACUGGUCACAAUCAAAUUAAGGCUGUGUUGCUGAUCACUUUAUUAGUGGAACUGCAACAGAGUCCAUGUUUGUUUUUCAUGAGCUGUGAACUGUCCUGCCAAUUUAAACAAAAAAUGGCUUAAACUUGCUGUUUUGGACAAUAAACACUGUUUUUGUAGAA